CAGUUUGGUGGAUGACUCAGAUGAGGAUCCAGAUUACACCCCUGGCCGUGACAAAAAGAACAAGUUAGCCUUAUUUUUGAACAAUGCAGCGAGCUCCAGUGAUGUCACAGAUGAAGACGAAGAGAACAUCCCUUCAACGUCUACAGCCACAAAAAAGAAGAUUC